AUACGUAGGGUGCGAGCGUUGUCCGGAAUUACUGGGCGUAAAGAGCUCGUAGGUGGUUUGUCGCGUCGUCUGUGAAAUUCCGGGGCUUAACUCCGGGCGUGCAGGCGAUACGGGCAUAACUUGAGUACUGUAGGGGAGACUGGAAUUCCUGGUGUAGCGGUGAAAUGCGCAGAUAUCAGGAGGAACACCGGUGGCGAAGGCGGGUCUCUGGGCAGUAACUGACGCUGAGGAGCAAAAGCAUGGGUAGCGAACAGGAUUAGAUACCCUGGUAGUCCAUGCCGUAAACGGUGGGCGCUAGGUGUAGGGGUCUUCCACGACUUCUGUGCCGUAGCUAACGCAUUAAGCGCCCCGCCUGGGGAGUACGGCCGCAAGGCUAAAACUCAAAGGAAUUGACGGGG
rnacentral:rRNA from 1 species